rnacentral:lncRNA from 1 species
UAGCUGACUUGCUGUCGGGAGGCGAAGCCCGGUUGGAGGUGGGGCCAUGGCCUGGAAAAGGUAUUCUUGUUCCAGAUCCUCCCUUCACUGUCUGCUGCUUGGCUGCCAAGGGAUGAGCAGCUCUCCUCCACCCACAUCCUUCCACCAUGCACUUCCUGCCUUGGAGACAGCCAAUUAUGGACUGAAUCCUCUAAACCCAGGUUUAUAGAAAUGCAACAACUUAAAGACCUAGAAGAAAUGAGUAUUUCAGCUGGU